rnacentral:rRNA from 1 species
GACGAACGCUGGCGGCGUGCUUAACACAUGCAAGUCGAACGGAAAGGCCCUGCUUUUGUGGGGUGCUCGAGUGGCGAACGGGUGAGUAACACGUGAGUAACCUGCCCUGGACUUUGGGAUAACUUCAUGAAACUGGGGCUAAUACCGGAUAGGAGCUCCUGCUGCAUGGUGGGGGUUGGAAAGUUUCGGCGGUUGGGGAUGGACUCGCGGCUUAUCAGCUUGUUGGUGGGGUAGUGGCUUACCAAGGCUUUGACGGGUAGCCGGCCUGAGAGGGUGACCGGCCACAUUGGGACUGAGAUACGGCCCAGACUCCUACGGGAGGCAGCAGUGGGGAAUAUUGCACAAUGGGCGGAAGCCUGAUGCAGCAACGCCGCGUGCGGGAUGACGGCCUUCGGGUUGUAAACCGCUUUCGCCUGUGACGAAGCGUGAGUGACGGUAAUGGGUAAAGAAGCACCGGCUAACUACGUG